CGGACGGGUGAGUAAUGUCUGGGAAACUGCCUGAUGGAGGGGGAUAACUACUGGAAACGGUAGCUAAUACCGCAUAACGUCGCAAGACCAAAGAGGGGGACCUUCGGGCCUCUUGCCAUCGGAUGUGCCCAGAUGGGAUUAGCUAGUAGGUGGGGUAAAGGCUCACCUAGGCGACGAUCCCUAGCUGGUCUGAGAGGAUGACCAGCCACACCGGAACUGAGACACAGUCCAG
rnacentral:rRNA from 1 species